rnacentral:rRNA from 1 species
UACGGAGGGUGCAAGCGUUGUUCGGAAUUAUUGGGCGUAAAGCGCGUGUAGGCGGCUUUGCAAGUCGGGUGUGAAAGCCCUCAGCUCAACUGAGGAAGUGCGCCCGAAACUGCAGAGCUUGAGUGCCGGAGAGGGUGGCGGAAUUCCCCAAGUAGAGGUGAAAUUCGUAGAUAUGGGGAGGAACACCGGUGGCGAAGGCGGCCACCUGGACGGUAACUGACGCUGAGGCGCGAAAGCUAGGGGAGCAAACGGG